CACAAAACUACCAAGAAGGCCAUAUUUCUUUGGUCAUUUACUUUUUUUUUUCUUUUACUGGAACUAAUUACUAAAAUGCAGCAAGUGUACAAGAUCUUGAAGCCAGGGCAUCAAAUUAUCUGAUCUUGAUCAUUUGUGCAGUUAUGUACUAUACCAAUCUUUGCAAUGUGAAUUUAGUUGAAAAAAUGCAAUUUUUUGCAGUUUUUCUUUUACUAUA